rnacentral:rRNA from 1 species
UCUACGGGAGGCAGCAGUGAGGAAUAUUGGUCAAUGGGCGUAAGCCUGAACCAGCCAAGUCGCGUGAGGGAUGAAGGUUCUAUGGAUCGUAAACCUCUUUUAUAAGGGAAUAAAGUGUGGGACGUGUCCUAUUUUGUAUGUACCUUAUGAAUAAGGAUCGGCUAACUCCGUGCCAGCAGCCGCGGUAAUACGGAGGACCCGAGCGUUAUCCGGAUUUAUUGGGUUUAAAGGGUGCGUAGGCGGCCUUUUAAGUCAGUGGUGAAAGUCUGUGGCUAAACCAUAGAAUUGCAGUUGAAAAUGGUGGGCUUGAGUAUGGUAGAGGCAGGCGGAAUGCGUGGUGUAGCGGUGAAAUGCUUAGAGAUCACGCAGAACCCCGAUUGCGAAGGCAGCCUGC